GAAUUCACUAGUGAUUCUUGGUCAUUUAGAGGAAGUAAAAGUCGUAACAAGGUUUCCGUAGGUGAAGGUUCGCCUACGAAGCCCGAGCGUCGACUCUAAAUGUUUCGCUCCAGUCGGUCUUUUUUGGGCUGGCGACGCUCGCAAACUGUGCCGGGAGUUCUUACAAAGUUCAACCGGCAGCCCGUAGAGGGUUCACAGAUCAAACGCCGGCGGCCGCCUUCGGGUGGUUUUGACAUGAUCGGCCCUGCGCCAAACGGCCACGGAAUUUCUUUGCGGAACCUGCGGAAGGAUCAUUACAGAGAGGGGGCCUUC
rnacentral:rRNA from 1 species